GUUUGAUCAUGGCUCAGAUUGAACGCUGGCGGCAGGCUUAACACAUGCAAGUCGAGCGGGGGAAGGUAGCUUGCUACUGGACCUAGCGGCGGACGGGUGAGUAAUGCUUAGGAAUCUGCCUAUUAGUGGGGGACAACAUCUCGAAAGGGAUGCUAAUACCGCAUACGUCCUACGGGAGAAAGCAGGGGAUCUUCGGACCUUGCGCUAAUAGAUGAGCCUAAGUCGGAUUAGCUAGUUGGUGGGGUAAAGGCCUACCAAGGCGACGAUCUGUAGCGGGUCUGAGAGGAUGAUCCGCCACACUGGGACUGAGACACGGCCCAGACUCCUACGGGAGGCAGCAGUGGGGAAUAUUGGACAA
rnacentral:rRNA from 1 species